GUGGUUCGGAAGAGUUCGGGUCGAGAUUCAGCGAGGAAAAGCUUUUUUCGGGACUACAAAGAUGAUGACGGUUGCUCGAACAUCUCCUAAAGCGACACCAUUAUCUCACGGGCGGUGGGCAUUACCUCGUGUUUCGUAUUAAGUACAUCAGAUAUGCGGUGGGCAAUUACCUCAUGUUUCUUAUCAAGAGAUUUGUGGUUCAAUAUCUAUAAAAAAAAAAAAAAAAAAAAAAAAAAAAAAAAAAAGAAAAAA